CCUCUGACCAUGGGCCUCCGGUGGAUGCCUGCAAGCAGUGGGCUCCCCAGCCCCAUAGGCUGGCAUCCGACUCCAGGACAAAGUCCGGGUUUGGUCCAAAUAUGGCUCUGCCGUUCCAGGCCUCCAUGUGGAGGAGCCACCACUGGAGUUCUGUUCGCACUUCUGUUGAUACUGGAAUCCAGUGGUCGUAUGUAUGUCCCUGUCUCAAGUGGUGUGCCUUCGCUCGUUGCAUGGCCCGAUAGUGGAGUGGUCCCGGG